rnacentral:tRNA from 1 species
GGUCAACUGGUGUAGUGGUUAUCACGUCUGUCUUACAUUCGCGUCGCAUGGUGCUAUGUGAGGACACAGAAGGUCGCAGGUUCGAUCCCUGCGUUGAUCA